AGAAAAUAAUAAAUAUGAUAAAAAAAAAUUCUGAUUGUAUUCUUGUAGUAUUAGCAACAUCGUUUUCAAACUCCAACGCUUUAGCCUCGUCAUACACUGACUGCAAGUUUGAGUGUACAAAGUUAAAAGGGUACUCGGAUGGAGGGUGUGUUGGUUUAGCACCAAAAUUUCAGUGUUGUUGUAAGAAAUGAUAGAAAUUAUCUUUAAUAUAAAUUGGUGAUUUGAUUUCUUGUAUGCUCAAUAACUAAUCUUAUUGAACUGUUAUAAGUCUAAAUAAUUUCACAAAGAGAGGGAGAGAGAGAGAAAAUGGUUUUCCCUCCAAUUGUGAACCUCCCUUAUACUAGCCAUGGUUCAGUCAGCAAACCAUGUAGAUUGUUAUGUCAAAUACUCAAACUCAAUGAAAUUGGUUUAUAUAUUUGUUGUUA